rnacentral:rRNA from 1 species
GAACUGAGGGUAGCGGAGAAAUUCCAAUCGAACCUGGAGAUAGCUGGUUCUCUCCGAAAUAGCUUUAGGGCUAGCCUCAAGUGAUGAUUAUUGGAGGUAGAGCACUGUUUGGACGAGGGGCCCCUCUCGGGUUACCGAAUUCAGACAAACUCCGAAUGCCAAUUAAUUUAACUUGGGAGUCAGAACAUGGGUGAUAAGGUCCGUGUUCGAAAGGGAAACAGCCCAGACCACCAGCUAAGGUCCCAAAAUAUAUGUUAAGUGGAAAAGGAUGUGGCGUUGCCCAGACAACUAGGAUGUUGGCUUAGAAGCAGCCAUCAUUUAAAGAGUGCGUAAUAGCUCACUAGUCGAGUGACACUGCGCCGAAAAUGUACCGGGGCUAAACAUAUUACCGAAGCUGUGGAUUGUCCUUUGGACAAUGGUAGGAGAGCGUUCUAAGGGCGUUGAAGCAUGAUCGUAAGGACAUGUGGAGCGCUUAGAAGUGAGAAUGCCGGUGUGAGUAGCGAAAGACGGGUGAGAAUCCCGUCCACCGAUUGACUAAGGUUUCCAGAGGAAGGCUCGUCCGCUCUGGGUUAGUCGGGUCCUAAGCUGAGGCCGACAGGCGUAGGCGAUGGAUAACAGGUUGAUAUUCCUGUACCACCUAUAAUCGUUUUAAUCGAUGGGGGGACGCAGUAGGAUAGGCGAAGCGUGCGAUUGGAUUGCACGUCUAAGCAGUAAGGCUGAGUAUUAGGCAAAUCCGGUACUCGUUAAGGCUGAGCUGUGAUGGGGAGAAGACAUUGUGUCUUCGAGUCGUUGAUUUCACACUGCCGAGAAAAGCCUCUAGAUAGAAAAUAGGUGCCCGUACCGCAAACCGACACAGGUAGUCAAGAUGAGAAUUCUAAGGUGAGCGAGCGAACUCUCGUUAAGGAACUCGGCAAAAUGACCCCGUAACUUCGGGAGAAGGGGUGCUCUUUAGGGUUAACGCCCAGAAGAGCCGCAGUGAAUAGGCCCAAGCGACUGUUUAUCAAAAACACAGGUCUCUGCUAAACCGUAAGGUGAUGUAUAGGGGCUGACGCCUGCCCGGUGCUGGAAGGUUAAGAGGAGUGGUUAGCUUCUGCGAAGCUACGAAUCGAAGCCCCAGUAAACGGCGGCCGUAACUAUAACGGUCCUAAGGUAGCGAAAUUCCUUGUCGGGUAAGUUCCGACCCGCACGAAAGGCGUAACGAUUUGGGCACUGUCUCAACGAGAGACUCGGUGAAAUCAUAGUACCUGUGAAGAUGCAGGUUACCCGCGACAGGACGGAAAGACCCCGUGGAGCUUUACUGUAGC